CCCCCGUACGCCUCACUUCUCCCUUUUUUGAGGCACAACCUCAUUUUCUCCUUCCCUUACCAGACUUACCCCACACAAGACAAGGGACGCCAUUUUUUCGACAAGGUUCCAGCAACCCCUUGGCACAAUAGUGUAGCCAAUACCAUCUCUGAGCCACCCCACAUCAUUCAGGCCAUAGACAUUGCUCUUCCUCUCAUUCACCCAAAAAAGAAAAGGAUCAAUACAAGCGCUGUGUCUUCUCUGCGUCCUGCACCAACACGCAGCCAUCACCAAACAGUCACAGUUCCUCUAUGCACCGUGAGCAUGCACCAGCCAUAGCAGCAUCGUCGUUCAGAACUCUAGCAACCGUGAGCAAGUUCAAGCCAGAAGCAACAGAGGGAACCCUUCUUCCCUUUCCUCCUCGCCUAAAGCAUCAACCACCGGCAUUAGCUACACCCUGCACUGCCAGCAACGACUUUCUCUUCUCAGUAGUGACAGCAUAGACUUCAGUAGCUUGAGCAGCAGCCAUCGUGAGCAAAAGCAGCUGUUUCUCCUCGACCACGGUUGCAGUCAUCCCUCCUCAGCACUAGCAACAACGAGACUAGUAGAGAGAGAGAGAAAGACGGGACAAAAAAAAAGGAAAAGACAGAGAGAACAAAAGGGGAGCGCAGGGGACGAAUACAAGGGACAGACAGAGAGAGACCAGAGAGAAGAAAGAUCAGAGGAAAAAAAAGAAGGAAGAAUAGAAACAGGGAGAGGGAAGCAUUGAUCGCCCAAGAGACCAUCACCUCCCGUUUUCGUCUCCAGCAGCACGCCCAGGCAAGUCUUCUUUCCCCUGCUUUUGCAAAUUCUAUUAACCCAUUCAUGUAGCAAGCCUGCACGCCUGCUGCUUUGCCCAGCCGGGAACCUGCUUGUCAUAACCAUCUUUUUAACAGCGCAGACACCACCUACUUGUUGGAGAAGAAAAAUAAAGCCAAAGAAAAAUCUCGCGUGAAAAGAUAAGAAAUUAAAAAUAAAAUUAUUAUAUAAUCCAUAAUAAAAUAAUUUUUAAUCUAUAAUAAUAUCCCCAAACUAUUUAGCUUUUGUUAUGAUAAACUAGUCAUGACUACAGUAUUUCUUUCUCUGUUAAAGCAUCCUGUGUAAUAAUAAAAAAAUAAAUAAAUAAAGAAAGAAAGAAAAAGCAUCCCGUCAUCUGCUUCAGGGCUACGCAAAUGGAAGAUCUACGCAACCCAAUCUCCCGCAACUGCAAGAUCCGAUGGCAACGUAGUAAAUAGAACCGGCCUCGAGGUUUUUACCAUACCCCUACCUUUAGUCAACAGUAAUACAGCACAGUAACAUUAAAUUAUAUUACAUUCACUCUCCUUUUAAUUUUAAUUUAAAUUAAUAGAGGAAUUAUUAUCUCGACUAAUUAUUAUAUUUUAUACUUAGAUUGUUUUCAUAAAUCUAACCUUAUAUCUUAAAUUAUUCUCUAAUUUAUCUCCUCAUUAAAUCUUUUAUGCAAAUGACUCCAGACACUAAAAUCCAUUUAAUUUAUAAAGAAAAAUUAAAACUGAAAAUAAAUCUCCUUAUGGUGUUGAAAUUCAAAUAUUUUUCAUAGUUAUUUUAUAAUAAAUUAGGUUACAUUUGAAUUUGGAUUUCUCAUGUAAAAGUAUUUUUUUUAUCAAUUUAAAUAAGAAUAUUUAAUAAAAUAAUAGAUUAAAUAACGACUCUAUUACUAAGAGAUAAAUUAAAAACAAAUAGAUAUAUUGGUACUAUAUAUUAAAUAUAAAACCAAGUUGAGCUACUUACUUUUAUAGGGAAAAUGUCAUAAAAGUCUAUAACAUUUAGAAUUAAUUUUAAUUAGAUCCCAAAUCUAGUUUUCAUCUCAAUUAGGACCAAAUGUAGCAAUGAAUACUCAAUUAGAUUCUUCGAUCGUCUUUAGUCAACAAAAUUGUUUAGUAAAUAAUUUAAAUUCUAUAAGAUCAUGCAAAAAUCACCAAAUUAUAUAUAAAAAAACAAUAUUCUUACAUUUAUUUAUAUAAUCUGUCUUAUUUCGUGAUGGUAUAAAUAUAAAUUACAUGUUUUAUUUAACCAUUAUAUUAAUAUAAACUAAUAGAAGGAUUCGAUUGAACAUCUAUCGAUAUUUCAGGGACUUAAUUGAGAUACAAAAUACAUGGGGG
rnacentral:lncRNA from 1 species